GCGUGAAUGAUGAAGGCCUUAGGGUUGUAAAGUUCUUUUACCUGUGAAGAUAAUGACGGUAACAGGAGAAAAAGCACCGGCUAACUUCGUGCCAGCAGCCGCGGUAAGACGAAGGGUGCUAGCGUUGUUCGGAUUGACUGGGCGUAAAGGGCGCGUAGGCGGUUUUUUAAGUUAGGCGUGAAAGCCCUGGGCUUAACCCAGGACGUGCGCUUAAGACUGGAGAACUUGAGUUCGGAAGAGGAAAGUGGAAUUCCUAGUGUAGAGGUGAAAUUCGU
rnacentral:rRNA from 1 species